UUUUGGGAGUCGUAGUUUUUCUCUCUCCUUUCACAAGUGGCCUGUGAGGGCGUCUUCUCAGCUUUCCUCUACGUUUCCGUGUGGCUCGCUCUGUUUUGAGCCAGAUGCACAACAAAUAAUACAAAGCUUUGUAAGAGCCUGGAAAUUGUAGAGUUGAGGACACAGGAACAGUGUCUCACUGAAGAUGAAAUAUGACUGAAGGGUCUUCUAUUGCUCCAGCUUCCAGAAGUGCUAAUUGACAGUCCUCAGGUGUCAGCCCUCCCCAGAAAUUGUCCCUGGCUAAAGAGUCACCUUGCCCAUGGUCAGAGCUGCUUCCAAGAGACUCCCUAAUUAGCUCAGGCUCUGGCCCAGAGGACUGCAUGGCUGUAUUUAACCACCUGGGAAGUGGCUCUGGAAAGAUGCUGGCUCAGCGUAAGCAACUGGGUUGUAUCCUGGCUGCCUUUGGGUGAGAGUUUUAUUUUUAACUCGCCUCUCUUUCAGAUGAUUGCUGAAGUCUGAUCGUAGUGAGGAGAGCUCCCUUUCAUUUUUAGACAAUUUCCCCCCUAUUUAGUGGAGUUCAUAACUCUUUUCUUCUUGUAUUUUGCCACUAGGAGAAGGGAAUAAAAUGUUAGACUUACCUAGAAAAUGUUAUAUACAUAAUACUAAAGAUUUGCUAUAUAUUUUUCCUCUCUGGAGAUUUUGGAGGAACAACUCUCUAUUCUUUUCUUUUGGUCUCCUAUCAUGCAGUGAUAUAAUAAAUAAAAUAAAGUAAAAUAAAAUAAGCAGUUCGUUUGCAAUCUUCAGUAUGGUAAAGUGACACUGUAGAAAAUGACACAGCCUUGCCUACUUAUAGUGCUUACUGUAAUAUAAAGCAGACUGAAAUGAAGAUCACAGAGGAGUAUUCAUAGUGUCCUUUGAGAGCUCAGAGUACUUAAAAGGGGAUCAGGGAGUGCUCCCUAGAAAAUGUGGUAUUUAUGUAGGGCUUUAAAGAUGAAAAGACUUUAUAGGCCAAGAGGAGGCUAGGGGCAUUUCCUAGUCAGUGAACUGAGUGGAAAAAGACAGGAGUCUUAAGAAUGCUUGAUGGGUUGCUGGAGUAGAAACAGACCAUUAUUAAUGAGUGUCGGGUACAUGGUUGUGUGUACUAGGAGACAAAACUAAAGAGAUAUGUUGGAGCAGGAGCCAGGAGGGUCUUAGUCUGGGGAAUCUAGAUCUCUUCCCACAGAGUUUGGAACCAGUUGAAUUAUUUUUUUCUUUAAAAAACAUCACAGACCUUUUCCUUGAAUUAUUUUGGAGUCAUGUGUUUUUU